rnacentral:lncRNA from 1 species
GAAAUAUGCAGCAAAGAAAGGGUUUUGAAGCUGGAAAAUUUCAGCAACAUAUUUCCCUUGCUUGUAAGUGAUUUUAAUGUCUUUGUUUGAUGAUUUUUGUAUUUUUGGAACCCCUAAAGCAUAAGCUUUCAUAAGAGGGGAUUAUUUUGCAAAAUGAUGAAGAGUCUAGGGUUUAACCAUGAGAGUAAAUGUGUUUUUUGCUGUGUUUUUAUGGAAGAUUAUGAGUCCUAGUUGUCUAAUAAACAACUUUUGUGAAAGAAAUUGCAUGAAAAUACCUUUAAAAGGGGUAAAUUGCUAAGUUGUAAAAUGAGUUGUAAAUGUGUAAAAUAGUUGAAAUUAUGAGUUGCUAUAGUUAUGAAAAUGGUUCACCUAGACUCAAGGAGUAAAGAAAUGCGAUAAAAAUUAAUUUACGAGCAUUGGGGCAAAAGUGCAAAUAUGCAAAAGUUUAGGGGUCAAAAUGAAAAUUUGUAAAAAUAUGAUUUUUAGACCCAUAUGAAUAUUGUGACUGAUUGAGGCUAAAUGUGAUGUUAUAGAUGAUGAAAAUUGAGAUUUGGACCUAGAACGGAAAGAAAUCGAUUUAUGGACGAGUAUGUCUUUUCACCUUUGUGGUAUCGAGGUAAGUUCAUGUGUAAAUAAUGUAGCAUAAUUGUUAUUUUUAAGUUAUUGAUGUUAAAUAUAUGAUAUGCUAAUUUUUAUCAUGAAAUAUAUGCUUUGUGGUUAUUUUCGAAUAAAAUGCAAGUUAUGUGUAUUAUCUGUUAAAUAUAAAGUGCUACCGAGUAUUGGUUUCGGUAUUUUACGGAAGAUGGCAAGGAUAUGUGUUCGAGGAAAAUCCCGUUUGAACCUUAGGAAUAGAUUAGGAUACAAGUGACAUGUCACUAGGAUGGUUGAGCAUCCGAACUCGUUGAGUUGAGUCCGAGUUCACUUAUGGAUGCGAAUGUUCGAACUCGUUGAGUUGAGUCUGAGUUCGUGAGAUGUAACUAGGCAUCCGAGCUCGUUGAGUUGAGUCUAAGUUCACUUAUGGGCAGGUUACAUGGUAGCUUGGCUACAUAUGUGGCACUUAUGUGCAAAUUUUCCAUGUAUCCGAAUUAUAUUCCGAUGUGUUCAACGGGUAAAAUUCUAUUCAAAUGGAGGAAUACUCGAGAUGAAAGGGACGUAUUGGUAAAUGUUGUGAAAUGGAUACUUUGAACAGGUAUGUACUUAACCCUCGGGUUGAAAACUCGACAUAACAACAAUAUGGUAAGAUGGUAAAUGAAAAUGUGAUAUGAAUGUCUCGGUGAUGAUUAUACAAACGAUGUUGUAUUAAUUUUGUGAACAAUGAUCAUGAAUGAGUAAUUUAGCCUUGACAGAUUUGAGUUACUGCAGUAGUGUAACUUUGAAAAUACACUAAAAAUAGUGGAAAAUGAGUUAGAGGCAGAAUAAAAUAUGGGAUUAAAGCUCAAUGAGUCUAUUUUUACAUGAAAGAAACAGGGAAGAAAAAGAAUUCCAUAUUGUGUGAUAUUUGAAUUCUUGUGAAACAGGGUCUGAAUGAAUUCGAGAUCCCCUGUUCUAACUUUAUAAAUUCACCAAAAAUUGUACAAAAAUUACUAAGAGUUAUACCUUACAUGCAUAGAUUUCUUAUUGAGUCUAUUUUUAUAGAAAUAAACGGCACGGUCAUUGGAAUUUUUUACAGGGAGAAAUUCGGUUUGUAGUGCACAGGGGUCAGAGUGGUCAUACCCUGAAACAGGGGAGACUUUAACUAAUAAACUGUACUAUUUGGCUUAACCGAAAAUUCUGAAAAUUUUUUGGAAGAAAGGAAAAUAAGUCUAGUUUCAGGGAAAAUUAACAGAACUUAAUUUGGAGUUUCGUAGCUCCAUAUAUAAAUAAUUUAGUGACUGUUGCUCAGGAAGACAGCUUGUAGUGAACUUGAGAAUAUGUUGUAAACAUUGAUAAAACAAGUUAAUGAGUUGCUUAUUGUUUUCAUAUGAACUUACUAAGAGAAAGCUUACCCCCCUUCUUCACCAUGUUUUUUAGAGUUUCCAGGUUAGCUCGGGUUGGAGGCCGUCAGAGAUAUUAUCACCCUAUCGAGUUAACGUUAUCAGAGUAAGUAAACUCAAGUGAUUCGAGUCUAUGGCAUGUAUAGGGUUUUAAUGUGAGUAUGUAAUAUUAUGAUUUAGCCAAAGGCAUUGGCUUGUUAUUAAGGUAGUAUUAGUUAUGUAAAUUGGCCUAUGUCGGCUAAUAUUGUUAUGGGCCCAUAUGAUUAUUCUUAUGCAUUUAUGUUAUUAUUUCUUGUGAUGUGGCUUACAACAUGUAUGCCUAGAGAUUGAAUUGAGAUUCAUUGAUGAGCUAGUAACUAAUGCAGGAUUAAGUGAUUGGUAAAUAGUUAAUAAUGCUUCAUGAAUGGUUUGUGAUGUAAUGAUAGUUAUGUCUAGUAUGUGGUAAUGAUAUGGGCAAAUUCUAUAAUAUUUAUUGCAUAAGAAAAUAACUUAGCAUAACAUGUUUGUAGAUGUUUAAGAGCUCAUUUAUGUCACGUUGUAUGUUAUUGGAUAAGUAUGUAUCUAUGCAUAUGGUGUGAGAGUGAUAAAAGGCUUAAUAAUUAGCCUAUUUCUGGCCACACGGCCUGAGCACAUGGGCGUGUGAAGCCUUAACGCAAGAGAUUUUUUUAAGUUUUUCAUGAGUUCUCGAUUGGGUCCCGAACCACUCCAGAUGUAUGUUUUGGGCCUCACAAGCCCGUAUAUGGGACAGAUUGUAUGUGAAAAGAAAAGUUUUUAACUAUUUGAGAUUCCAUGGCCCUGUUUAGUAUGAAAGUGUUAGUAAAAGUCAGGUAGCACCUCGAACCCCGUCCUGGCGUCGGAUGCGGGCGAGGGGUGUUACAGGUUGGUACCAAUGUGGGUGAGGAAUAUGGCUUCGAAAGCAGCCUAUUUUUGUCCACACGGCUAGAGACACGAGCGUGUGUCUCAGCCGUGUGUGACACACGGCCAGGUGACACGGCCGUGUGUCCCUUGAUACUUCUUUUGAAACCAAGUCAAUAGCUUCACACGGCCUAGCACACGAGCAUGUGGCUUGGCAAUGUGGCACAAGUUAAUAUACCCUCCAGUUUUCACACGGCUUGGCACACGGGCGUGUGAGGCCAUUUUGAAGGGUACACGACCUGGCACACGGAUGUGUGGUGUGGCCGUGUGACCCAAGUCAGUGAGUUACACAAGGUCAGACACGGCUUGAAACACAGGGUGCCCCAUAGCCACACAGACCUGUACCCUGGCCACACGGGCGUGUGACCCUUGCACUUUGAAAAAUUUUCCAUGUUUUCUUAAAAAUUCGUAGAGAACUCGAUUUAGUCCCGAACCACUUCUAAUGUCUAUUUAGGGCCUCGAGGGCUCAUAUUAGAGACUGAAUAAAUGUAUUUGAAUAGUUUUUUAUAUGAAUGAUAAAUGUACAUGAGAUGUAUAAUUGUUUGACUUAUAAGUUUGAUAAUGCUCCGUACCCCUGUUCCGUCGUUGAAUACGGGUUAGGGGUGUUACAUUAUGACAGGAUAUAUCGAGAUCUUGCAUUUUUUAUGGAUCAUCAAGCAUUAUUUCUCCCUACAGAGACUUUGAUGUGGUAGAGGGAUGUAAUUAAAAAUGUUUAUACAUUUGAUUCUUACGAGCUUUGCAUUUUGGUGCCUUCGUGAAGUAUAGUUAAGCUCUUACAAGCUAUCUAAUGAGGUGUAGUUCACUCAUGUAUCCGAGUUUAUUUUACUAGGGUUCCAUUAGGAAAAAUGUUGAAAAUGGAUCUUAAAAUAAAAAAGUGAACUAAUUUAAUGUGUUAUUAUGAUUCGUGAUUCAAAUUGAAAUGGCUUGAUCUUGUAAAUUGAUGAUGUAAUAUGAAAUGGUAAUGAUCUUAAUAAAAGUAGAGAAAUUGGUGAUAAACCUAUAUGAAAUGGUGUAAAUUGGUAAUGUUUAUAUUACUUUUAUCAUGUUUAAUGCAUAUUAAUACUCAUGAUUUUUUUGUAUACCUUGUUGUGACUUAGAGUGUCAUGUGCUAGCUAAAUGUAUGCCUAAUUUGUGGUUAUAUCAUGCUCACCUAUGAGCAAGGUAUGUGUUUUAAUUCCAUUUGAACAUAUUAAGCAUUUAAAUGCUCACUCUAGUUGUUUCUCCUACUUGUAGAUCAUCAACUUGCGGAACUCUCAAAGCCGAAUCUUUGCAAAUGUCACACUAUCAUUGAAACGAUAGAAAUAUGUUCAUUUUGGUUCCUAAAGUUGUGUCAUGUAUAUAGGAUCAUUGUGUUUUAUAAUGGUCAUCCUUAAUUAUGACUGCUUAUGUUAUGUUAAUGGACAAGACUAUGUUGUUUGCUAAGUUUAUAUAUGG